ACUUACGUUGAAAAGUGAGCGGAUGAACUGAGGGUAGCGGAGAAAUUCCAAUCGAACCUGGAGAUAGCUGGUUCUCUCCGAAAUAGCUUUAGGGCUAGCCUCAAGUGAUGAUUAUUGGAGGUAGAGCACUGUUUGGACGAGGGGCCCCUCUCGGGUUACCGAAUUCAGACAAACUCCGAAUGCCAAUUAAUUUAACUUGGGAGUCAGAACAUGGGUGAUAAGGUCCGUGUUCGAAAGGGAAACAGCCCAGACCACCAGCUAAGGUCCCAAAAUAUAUGUUAAGUGGAAAAGGAUGUGGCGUUGCCCAGACAACUAGGAUGUUGGCUUAGAAGCAGCCAUCAUUUAAAGAGUGCGUAAUAGCUCACUAGUCGAGUGACACUGCGCCGAAAAUGUACCGGGGCUAAACAUAUUACCGAAGCUGUGGAUUGUCCUUUGGACAAUGGUAGGAGAGCGUUCUAAGGGCGUUGAAGCAUGAUCGUAAGGACAUGUGGAGCGCUUAGAAGUGAGAAUGCCGGUGUGAGUAGCGAAAGACGGGUGAGAAUCCCGUCCACCGAUUGACUAAGGUUUCCAGAGGAAGGCUCGUCCGCUCUGGGUUAGUCGGGU
rnacentral:rRNA from 1 species